UACGUAGGAGGCAAGCGUUGUCCGGAAUUACUGGGCGUAAAGCGCGUGUAGGCGGCAGGCCAAGUCUGUGGUGAAAUCGCCCGGCUCAACUGGGCGGGGUCCAUGGAAACUGGUCAGCUGGAGGACGGUAGAGGUGAGUGGAAUUCCCGGUGUAGUGGUGAAAUGCGUAGAGAUCGGGAGGAACACCCGUGGCGAAGGCGGCUCACUGGGCCGGUCCUGACGCUGAGACGCGAAAGCGUGGGGAGCGAACGGG
rnacentral:rRNA from 1 species